UACAGAGGUCUCAAGCGUUGUUCGGACUCACUGGGCGUAAAGGGUGCGUAGGUGGCGUGGAAAGUCAGAUGUGAAAGCCCGGGGCUCAACCUCGGAAUUGCAUCCGAUACUAGCAUGCUAGAGUACUGAAGAGGUGACUAGAAUUCUCGGUGUAGCAGUGAAAUGCGUAGAUAUCGAGAGGAAUACCAACGGCGAAGGCAGGUUACUGGGCAGUUACUGACACUGAGGCACGAAAGCGUGGGGAGCGAACAGG
rnacentral:rRNA from 1 species